CCUACGGGGGGCUGCAGUCGAGAAUCAUUCGCAAUGGGCGAAAGCCUGACGGUGCGACGCCGCGUGGAGGAUGAAGGCCCUAGGGUCGUAAACUCCUGUCAUCAGGGAGUAAAGACUCGUGUAGUCACUGACACGGGUCCUGAUAGUACCUGAAGAGGAAGGGACGGCAAACUUCGUGCCAGCAGCCGCGGUAAUACGAAGGUCCCAAGCGUUGUUCGGAUUUACUGGGCGUAAAGAGUCUGUAGGCGGCGGGGUAAGUCAGAUGUGAAAUCCCG
rnacentral:rRNA from 1 species